AACCAAAAACUCCAUUUGUUGCUUGAUUAAUUUUUCUGUAAUUUCUCAAAGAUUCCAUGCCGUCAUAGGCAUUCGGCGGCGAUUUCUCCGAAUGUUUGUUACCAUUCGCAUUCAGAUGGAGGAGUUCAUUUGUGUGACUGGAAGGCGGCAGAUUGAUCGAAAUCGGAACUUUCGAGAUAGUUACAGGAAAAAUCCAGGAAAAUGAAGCAGAAGUGUUGAACCAAAAUAAAGAAGAAAAGAAGCUGAAAAGCGGUACCUUAAGGAUAAGGAGUGGCUGCAAAGCUCUUGAUUGAUCAACGCGAGUGAACUGUGCUUAGAUGCUUCGUAAAACCGCACCGAUAGAGAGAGGAGCUGAUGGAUGAGUAGACUCAAUUGAAGGCAUUAGAAAGAAGAGGAAAAGGCAAUAAACAAAGACUGACCAACAUCACAAAGAAGUUUCAGAGCGUCGAACCGGAAGAAGCGAAUCGAACCCGAGCAGAACAGUUGCAGGCUUUGACAUAUGGAGAAAGAAAGAACAGUAAGUUUUGAUGCUUUUUUCUCUUAGUUUUCUGAGGAUUCUUAGAGAAACAUGAUAGUGCCAUUAAUGGCUGCUCUUGAUUUGGGUCGUAGCCAUUUCAAGAGUACUGUUGAAGCAAGCCCUGUUAUGAGUAAAAGCAUGAAAAAGCUGAAGCUUCACACAAGGGAAACUGCCUUCAACUGAGGUUAGUUGAAUUUAUUCAUUACAUUACUGUUUCUUUCAUAUCUGCCUUGGAAUGUUUGGGCCAUUUGUAGCCAACAACUACUUUAGGGAUCUCCAAAUAGAAAACCAAUAAUUUCAUGGUUUGCUCUCAUUCCAGCAAUGUGUAAUUCUCUCCCAAUUAAUGAUUCAUGUGCAUAUUGAAUUAAAGAGAAUCAUUCCUUCU